rnacentral:rRNA from 1 species
GAUGAACGCUGGCGGCGUGCCUAAUACAUGCAAGUCGAGCGAACGGACGAGAAGCUUGCUUCUCUGAUGUUAGCGGCGGACGGGUGAGUCACGCGUGGAUAACCUACCUAUAAGACUGGUAUAACUUCGGGAAACCGGAGCUAAUACCGGAGGAUAUUUUGAACCGCAUGGUGCAAAAGUGAAAGACGGUCUUGGUGUCACUUAUAGAUGGAUCCGCGCUGCAUGAGCUAGUUGGUAAGGUGAAGGCUUACCAAGGCAAGGAUGCGUAGCCGACCUGAGAGGGUGAUCGGCCACACUGGAACUGAGGCACGGUCCAGAGUCCUACGGGAGGGAGCAGUAGGGAAUCUGCCGCAAUGGGCGAAAGCCUGACGGAGCAGCGCCGAGUGAGUGAUGAAGGUCGUCGGGUCGUAAAACUCUGUUAUUAGGGAAGAACAUAUGUGUAAGUAACUGUGCACAUCUUGACGGUACCUAAUCAGAAAGCCACGGCUAACUACGUG